ensembl:lincRNA
CAGAGACAUAAAAGGCUGAUUCAAGUUUUUGGCAAACUGUGACUUAGUAGCUAUAAUUCAAUAAUAAGGCUAAAUUGUGGGUGAAAGUCUCCUGAAAACUUGGGCUGACUUUCCAGGAGCUACACCAGGCUCUUACUUCAGUGGCUCCGAGCUGAUAUAACUGGGACACAGGCAAUAAUCUUCUUAAAACCCCUUAAUCUGGUAAGUUUUCUACAGGGUGAUCAUAUUUGAACACAGACUGGAUGAGCAGCUCGCUUAUAUUACUUUGAUAAAAAGCAACUAAAAUAAUGUGCACCGUCUUUAAUUUUGCAGGACAACUUCUAAAUUAUUUGGGAAAACAAAGUGGAAUUGAAAAACAAAACAGCUUUCACCGCUGACCUGGUUCAAAGUCGCGUACUUCAUGCUCUUUCACGGUCAGGCGAACUUGCAAAGAAACAGAAAUCGUGGACAACGGCAGAGUCCGCUGAGAAGGGCCGCAGUGAGCGGAGUCGGCUCUCGGUUGUCAACCGCAGAGGUUUGCUCUUUGCUCCAGAAACACGCGGUGCAGGAGGGAAGAGCCGCCUGUGUCGGGAGAACUAAGGAGCAGGAAGCGGUAGCCCAGGGACGGCACAUGGUACAGCAGCCACCACAGAAACCAGCCCAGGUGCCGGACACCAGCUGUUCAGAAGUGGCCUGUGGUGUGACGCAGCUGACCCUGCGGCUGGCUGCUGAUACCUGCAGGUGGGGCCACAGGUGGGUGCCGUCUUGUAGACAUACCCAGCCCUGACCCAGCCACAGGCCUCCACACGGGUGAACCCUGGGCCUCCCCAUCCCGGCUGCGUCUCGUCUCCAGCCCCCGUGCUGAGCUGACCUUUCUCUCGUGGCGGUCACAGCUCUGGCAGCUGUCCUGUGAGGGCAGCCCAGGAGGGUCCUGCACCUGCCCUGAAAGCAGGCCUGUCGCUCCAGCCCAACCCCUAGGCCCAGGGUCCCCGGAACAUGGGGAGGCACCGGCUCCAGGAGGGUCCGUGUCUCCUUGGACCCCCACACUCUCAAUGCCACCGGAGAGACCAGGACAGAGAAGGAGCACAACAGGGUCCUCUGAGGCCGCAGGGCAGAGCACCGGGAGGGGACUGGCUGCCUGGGUCUGAAGCCAUGUUGGAAGUAGCCACUGUCCCUGUUGGAGGUGGAGACUGGCCCCUGACCUACCUUGGGGGACCCUAAGCCAUCCCAGUCUGUAUCACCUGCCUGGAGUAUGGGCGCAUUGUAGAGGCACAGUGGUUCCAAACACGGGGCGAAGGUCUUGGGGCUUCUUGAAGGUGACAAAGGGAAAAGAGAGGUGAAGGUACAGGAAGCUCCUCUUCCUUCUGUUGCACUACUUUGCCAAGGAAGAAAACCACGCAGCUGCGGCCACAUGUGGUAGACGUGGACUUUCCCCCUCGUGGAUCUCCCCCUGCACACACAGCUGAGCAAGGGUGCCUGUCCCUCACCUCUGCACCUGCUUCAGGGCCAAGGCCCCACAGUGGAAAGACGAUCUAAGUGUGCCCAGCACCUCCCACCAGGGCGCCUGGCCCAGAGCUGGGGGCCCCAGCAGGACCCCCAGAGCUUGGGAGGCCCCACAGCCUCCCACUGUGUGGGCAGCCCCUCCUGCACUUCCCAGGGUCAGAGGAUGGCUGGUCGGCCUCCUUCACCCCCGGAGCUGGGGACAACGGACUCCUCCUUCAGUAUGUGCUCCUCAACUUUCCCCUGUUUUCUCCCAUUCUCAUUUGGAUGGCUUUUUAUUUCUUAUUGUAUUUUUUUUAUUUUUUUUUAAUUUUUAUUGUUGGUUGUUCAAAACAUUACAUAGUUCUUGACAUAUCAUAUUCCACACUUUGAUUCAAGUGGGUUAUGAACUCCCAUUUUUACCCCAUAUACAGAUUGCAGCAUCACAUCGGUUACACAUCCACUGACUUACAUAUCGCCAUACUCGUGUCUUUUAAAAAGUCAUGCUGUGCUUCCAUCUAAAGGUGCUGCAAUUCUCUGUUCCCGUUGUUCAAGGAGCCAUUGAUUUGUUUCUAACAGCGUUCCCCUUUCUAGCUAACCUCCACUGAGUGAUGUUGUCACGACCCCUGACCUGACCUUCUCAUUCUGCACUAGGAUCAUUUUUUCCUGCUCCAACUACCUAUGACUGGGAAACACUUCAUACUUCCAGUUGGAGUACACAGUUGGAGGCAACUGACGACCAAUAUAUAGACCAGAGUAGGUUUUCCUUACUUUAGCCCAGUGGCCACGCUGGGGAAUGGGCUCUCCGUGCGGUCCUCAGUCACCCACCAGAAUUGCAAGGCUCGGGGCCAGCCCCAGCAGCCCAGCACCUGCCAGCAGGGGUUAAGGGACCGAGGGGACAGAGCAGGAUGCUGGUGACCUCCUGGAUGUAGAAAGCCCACAUGCCAAUGUCCCUGACUUCCUGGACCGGCCUCCAAGACCGCAGCCCCACUGCGCGCUCCCAGGAAGGGCUUGUCUGAAUGGUUUGCUGUGCUCCUGGACGGUGGAAGGAAUCAGAGCAGCCGAGGACAUCAAACCUGACCUUGGAAAAGGCUGAGAACUGCUGGCGCUAAAGCCCUUCAAACCCAUCUCAGCAACUCUAAGUACACGCACUUCGGUCUCAGAACAAAGGAAGAGCAAAUAGGUGAAGGGAGUGUGCGCAGGGCUGUCUUGAAAACCAGCCUGCUCCUGCGAGCCCUUUCAUCUCAAUUCUCUCACCCUCUGUACGUAAAUUCCUUAAUUCUUUUAUUUAAAUUUAGGAAAAUUUAAUAACUAUAAACCUGAUGCUGCUUUUUUUUUCUUAAAAAAAAGCACAUUAUAUAAGUAACCUCGAGAAAGGUGUAUUGAAAUAUAUGUAUUAAAAUAUAUCCUAAGAGGUCAUUGCUACUCCUCCAACACAUUUAACCACUGAUGAUGCACACACUUCAAAUCCAUUUAUUUUAACUGUGGGUUUUGAACCUUUUAAAUUUUAAAAUUAUUAUUAAAUGUUUUUAUUAAAUUUCAUAUUAUCAUUAUAGUCAUUAAAUAAGUAUGAUUCCUUUUUAAACCCCUCCUGGCCCACAGCGACUGUGUGACUACUGUCCUUUCCACCCUGUGGACGACUCCAUGGGCUCAGAGAGGGCUUUCCCCACUGGGGAUGUCAGAACCACCUGCUCCUGAGAGGGGGCUUGUCUUCCUCAUCUUCAGUCCCCAGUGCCACCUGGCUUCAUAGUGGGUG